CUUCUUGUCGUUCCUUUCACCUAAGACAACCAUCUCACCUACAUCCUUUUGCGUUCUGGUUUUCGUCCCUUUCCGGUUCUCGGCUCCUUUCAUUUCGUGUUAUUGCCUCACCGUAAGCUCUUAUCUUCUCUCCGCCAUCACCAUAACAAAAAUUUAUAUCACUCAAGUUUGAUUCGUCACCGUUCAAGGUAUUCUCCUUUCAUUUUCUCUUUUAACUGGCCCAAUUUUGGAUUUAUAACUCAACUUCCAUGGUAAGAACUCAUUGUUAAGCUUGGAAGAGGAAGUAGAUUAUGUCAUUCAAUUUGAAUACAAAAUUCCAGCGGUGCGGCGAAUGAAGUAAUUGGUCAAUCUUGCAUUCUCUUGUGGUUUCUGGAAUUUACAUGGAAAUCAAGAGGAACAAUGGAAAAAGGACCUGCCCUCUAUGCAUACAAGAUAUGGAUUAGAGAGAUAAGCAAUUGAAAUCAUGUUGAUGUUAUGAGAAAUGAUUAAUCCAACGGGUUGUGCAACAAAAUCUUCAAUCGUUGUUAAUCUUGACAAUUGAAUUCACUUGAUUGAAUUUGAUUUUUCAUUUGAGUAUAAGGGUCACUAUAUUACCUCUAAGAAGUAACACUGUUGAAGACUAUCUAUUAUUUAGUAGUACUUUCUGAUUUUUUAUUAGAGUUAAGUAGUUUAGGAAAUUAUAAGAUAAUAGCAAAAUUCUUUGUAUAGUAUAGUGUUUUUAGGAGUCUAAAAGCUGCAGUAGUACUUCCUAAUUUUUUAUUAGAGUUAAGUAGUUUAGGAAAUUAUAAGAUAAUAGCAAAAUUCUUUGUAUAGUAUAGUGUUUUUAGGAGUCUAAAAGCUGCAGUCAGGAAUUUAGGAAUGAGAUCAGCCAUUAGGGAUGUUAACAACGUUUAUUGUAUAUUUAGUUUUAGAGUUAAACUUUAUGUACAAUUAUUUAUACUUGAAUUCUUUUUUAUGUAAUGAAUAAAUCUUUUCAUAAGAAGUAUAAGUUAAAAAUUAUUGUGAAAUACAAUUUCAGUACAAUUGUCACCCUAAAGUACGU